rnacentral:rRNA from 1 species
AUCAGUGGCUCAGGACGAACGCUGGCGGUCGUGCUUAACACAUGCAAGUCGAACGGAGUUCCUUGGAUAGAGGCUUCGGCCAAUUGAAUUGGAACUUAGUGGCGGACUGGUGAGUAACGCGUGAGGAACCUGCCUUUCAGAGGGGGACAACAGUUGGAAACGACUGCUAAUACCGCAUGACACAGUUGAACCGCAUGAUUUAACUGUCAAAGCUUUAUGUGCUGGAAGAUGGCCUCGCGUCUGAUUAGCUAGUUGGUGGGGUAACGGCCCACCAAGGCGACGAUCAGUAGCCGGUCUGAGAGGAUGAACGGCCACAUUGGGACUGAGAUACGGCCCAGACUCCUACGGGAGGCAGCAGUGGGGAAUAUUGGGCAAUGGGGGAAACCCUGACCCAGCAACGCCGCGUGAGGGAAGAAGGUCUUCGGAUUGUAAACCUCUGUUGUAAGGGAAGAAGAAAGUGACGGUACCUUACGAGGAAGCCACGGCUAACUACGUG